rnacentral:lncRNA from 1 species
GCCGCCGCCGCGCCGCCCGUCGGGAGGAGGCUGGGAGCCCGGCGCGCGCCCCGCCCCGCCCCCUGCCCCGGCCACGCCCCCGUGGAAUGCCGCGGGCGGCCGGUUCCGCGCGACCCCCGCCCCUUCCCGGACUCCCCAGCCGAGGCGAGGGGCGGGGGCGCUGGGGACCCCGAGAGAGGGCGUGGGGGAUUGACGGAGGAGCGCUGAGAUCUCCAGCAUUCCCGGACUCGGACUGCUUGCUGAGGCUGCAGUCGAGAUUUGGGGCUGUCUCGUCUUUCCGGGCUGAAUAUGAAGGCAGCUCAGACCGAGAAGACUGGUGCCCACCGCUCGCCUCCGGGCAUCCCUCCUGGCGGAGUUGGGAAGUCUGGGAUCCUUCGCCUCUCUCUCUGAUCGUGCGGAGCCAUAGCUGCAGAAGCAGCAGCUCUGCCCCCUGCUGGACACGUGAGGCAGCCCGCACUUUUCCUGUUCCAGAUGCAGCGCCCUUGUGGUGCUGGGGGGAAGAGAUUUUUUGGCUCACUCUGAUGGAAACAGCAAAACUGGGCGGAAUAAAAAUCCCAGGUUUUUUUUCUCUCUAGUUUAUUUCUGAGGAUCUGAUCUAUUUGGAUGCAGAAAACAUUUCUGUUGUUUCUCUUGCCUGGACGGCUUUUUUCCUUCCUGCUAGCCAAACCCGGCCCCUUUCAAGCCCUGUUUCAGAGUCCACCUCCUCCAAAACGCCCUUUCUGACUCUCCUCUCCUAUGUGAAUGUUUUGAAAUACAGCUAUGCACAGACCCGGCCCACGGAGUGCACACUCACAUACUGGCUUUACUGUUGUGUCCUUGAGGGUGGGGGCCAGGUUUGUGUGGCCUUUGUGUUCACAGACCCCGCCCGUAAGGUCCAGCACAGAGCUGGGGAUGAAACCUGCUGGCAAGCCCUUGUUGAUUAAUGGAUUAAUUAAUCAAUUAGUUUCUACGGAAGCAACUCCAAGCCUUUGCUUUGAUAAAUCUUCCUCUUAGCUCUUUGGGGGAAUCUAGAUAGUGAUGUAAUUCAAUAUAGCCUUGCACAAUAAGUAGUUUCACAAAGCAGUUUCACAAGAGAACACCACCACCACCCAGAGAGGGAUGAGGAAGUUUGGAGUGGUCUGUUAGAAAGAUGAGGAGGAGGGUGGCGAUGUGGGAAGGAUGAAGAAUUAGGAGAGGGGAUCUCUGCUCCAGGGUUCAGCGACGCAGCACAGCCUCUAAAGCCAGGUUUAUAUCCAGACUCCACCACUUGCUGUGUGGCCUUGUACAAGUUUACUCUUCUCUCUGUGCCUCGCUUUUCUCCUCUGUAAAAAUAAGUGCCCAUCCUAUCGCGAUAUGAUGAGGAUAAAUUGACUUGAUAUUUGCAAAGUGCUAGGACAGUGUCUGGCACAUAGUAAGUGCUAUAUAACAGUUUGUAAAUGAGUUUUCCAGCUUAGCUGUCUUGUAAAUGGAAUGGGGGAAGAUUAUAUGAUCUCUCAGUUCUCUCCCGUGCUGACCUUCCGGGGCAGUGCAUGAGCUUUGCGGUCAGACAGGUCUGGGUUGACUCCUGUCUCUUUUAGCACCUGCAUGACCUGGGGCAGAUGGCUCUCCUUGGAGCCUCAGUUUUCUCUUCUGUGAAGUGGGGAUAAUUGUGUCUACCUCAAAAGACUUGUGUGCAUUCCGUGCUUGUAAAAUGCCUGGCAUGUAAGAAGCUCAAUAAACAGAAGCUCUGAUUAUUAUUAUCUAUGAGAAGAGAGCUGUAGAUAAAGGAGAAUAGAGUCUCUAAAAUCUUUGAGGUUUCAAGAAAGAUUGAACGUAUUGAAUAGCAAUGAGCUCAGCUCAAUUCACGGAGUUUGGGGGUGGGACGGUGGGCCCUGAUCUGGGCCCUGACCAGAUAGCACAACAUCAGAAGAAACCAGGAAUGGUGUGACUCACACAUCAGCUCUAGGAACAUUUUCUGCCCGAG